CCUACGGGUGGCAGCAGUGGGGAAUAUUGCACAAUGGGGGAAACCCUGAUGCAGCGACGCCGCGUGAGUGAAGAAGUAUUUCGGUAUGUAAAGCUCUAUCAGCAGGGAAGAAAAUGACGGUACCUGAUUAAGAAGCCCCGGCCAACAACGAGCCAGCAGCCGCGGUAAUACGUAGGGGGCACGCGUGAUCCGGAUUUACUGGGUGUAACGGGAGCGUAGACGGCCGCACAAGUCUGGAGUGAAAUGCCGGGGCUUAACCCCAGAACUGCUUUGGAAACUGGGCAGCUAGAGUGCAGUAGAGGUAAGUGGAAUUCCAUGUGUAGCGGUGAAAUGCGUAGAUAUAAGGAGGAACACCAGUGGCGAAGGCGGCUUACUGGACUGUAACUGACGUUGAGGCUCGAAAGCGUGGGGAGCAAACAGGAUUAGAUACCCUUGUAGUC
rnacentral:rRNA from 1 species